AUUGAACGCUGGCGGCAUGCCUUACACAUGCAAAUCGAACGGUAACGGGCCUUCGGGUGCCGACGAGUGGCGAACGGGUGAGUAAUACAUCGGAACGUGCCCGAUCCUGGGGGUUAACGUGGCGAAAGCUUUGCUAAUACCGCAUACGAUCUACGGAUGAAAGCCGGGGACCGCAAGGCCUUGCGCGGACGGAGCGGCCGAUGGCAGAUUAGGUAGUUGGUGGGAUUAAAGCUCACCAAGCCCACGAUCUGUACCUGGUCUGAGAGGAUGAUCCGCCACACUGGGACGGAGACACGGCCCAGGCUCCUACGGGAGGCAGCAGUGGGGAAUGUUGGACAAUGGGCGCAAGCCUGAUCCAGCCAUGCCGCGUGCAGGAUGAAGGCCUUCGGGUUGUAAACUGAUUUUGUACGGAACGAAAAGCCUUCUUUUAAUACAGGAGGGUCAUGACGGUACCGGAAGAAUAAGCACCGGCUAACUACGUG
rnacentral:rRNA from 1 species